rnacentral:lncRNA from 1 species
AAUCUAAUAUGGCUUCUAGUAGACAAAUAAACUGUGGUACAUCUAUAUCUUGGGUUACCACUCAGCAAUAGAAAUAAGUGAAUUAUUUAUUUACAAAGCUGUGCUUUUCCAGGAAAUUAUACUGGCUUAAAAAAAAAAAAAAAACAAAUAAACAAACGAAAAACUCUAGUUCAUAGUGUUUACAUACUGUAUUUUUUCUAUUGUGUAACAUUUUUUAAAGACAAAAUAUGGAAAUUCAUUUUUGAACAAAUUGGUUUUUGACAGUGCUUAUUCUUGUGGUGGUAGGGAGGUCAGAAUGCAGAGGGAAGUGAGUGUGGUUAUAAAACUAUAUGGUUUAGAUAUGAAAUGUCCCUCAUGUGUGAGAAAAUGUAAGAAUUUUCAGAAGUGAAAUUCUUAUAUUAGGAAAGGCAUGACUUAAUAAGUAGAUUAAUCCACUGAUAUGGGUUAACUGGGUGGUAACUGUAGACAGGUAGGAUGUGACUGAAGGAAGUAGGUCACUGAAAAUGUUCCUUUGGGACACUCUGAUGAGCUGAGCUCUCUCUCUCUCUGCUUUCUGUCUGUCUUGAGCUGCAUUCCUCCACCACACCCCUCAGCUGUGAUAUUCUCCCUUAUCUCAGUCCCAGAGCUACAGAAUCAUCUGUCUAUGGGCUGAAAUCUCUGAAACCAUAAGCCAAAAUAAACUUUUCCUCCUUCAUAUCAUUCUUGUGAGAUCUUUUGGUCAGAUUAAUGAAAAGUUGACUAAAACAAAGGGGCAACAAGAGGAAUCUUUUUGAUUAUGGUACUAUUCUAUAUCAUAACUAUGGUGCUACAUGAACCUGCAGGCAUGAUAAAGUGUAUGAAAUUAAGUGCAUGCUCUCUCUCUAAAUAUAUCUCAUACACACACUCUCUCUCAUAUACACAAAUGAGUGCUAGUAAAAUGCAUAAAGUCUGAAUAAAAAAGAUGUAUAUUUUUAGUGUCAACUUCAUGAUUAUGUAAUUGCAC